rnacentral:lncRNA from 1 species
CUUAGCUUGUCAUUAGUAGUGUUACGAUAUGAAAGAAAGACGUACAGAGGGGUCUGUUAGCUCUGCCCUUUCUUUAAGUACCUUUCUCUAAAGCAUUACUUCAGUCUGCUCUGAUCUCACCCUGAAAUCAAAAGUCUGCAGCCUUAAGAAAUUUGGGGGUUCCUUUCAAAGGUUUGUGGGGGUUAGGAGGGCUGAAGGGGUCAAGACCUGCUGGAAAGAAGAGUCUUGAAGAACAGCUAGAUUCUGCAGACAUGGUGAUAUGGAAAGACUCAUCCUGGGAGGACAGGAAAA